UACGUAGGGUGCGAGCGUUAAUCGGAAUUACUGGGCGUAAAGCGUGCGCAGGCGGUUUUGUAAGCCAGAUGUGAAAUCCCCGGGCUUAACCUGGGAAUGGCAUUUGGGACUGCAAGGCUAGAGUGUGGCAGAGGAGACUGGAAUUCCUGGUGUAGCAGUGAAAUGCGCAGAUAUCAGGAGGAACACCGGUGGCGAAGGCGCUGCUCUGGGCCGAAACUGACGCUGAGGAGCGAAAGCGUGGGCAGCAAACAGG
rnacentral:rRNA from 1 species